rnacentral:rRNA from 1 species
CCUACGGGUGGCUGCAGUGGGGAAUAUUGGGCAAUGGAGGAAACUCUGACCCAGCAAUGCCGCGUGAAUGAAGAAGGUCUUCGGAUUGUAAAGUUCUUUAGUCAGGGAAGAAUAAAAUGACGGUACCUGAAGAAUAAGCUCCGGCUAACUACGUGCCAGCAGCCGCGGUAAUACGUAGGGGGCAAGCGUUAUCCGGAUUUACUGGGUGUAAAGGGAGCGUAGACGGCAGCACAAGUCUGGAGUGAAAUGCCGGGGCUUAACCCCGGAACUGCUUUGGAAACUGUGCAGCUAGAGUGCAGGAGAGGUAAGUGGAAUUCCUAGUGUAGCGGUGAAAUGCGUAGAUAUUAGGAGGAACACCAGUGGCGAAGGCGGCUUACUGGACUGUAACUGACGUUGAGGCUCGAAAGCGUGGGGAGCAAACAGGAUUAGAUACCCGAGUAGUC